UACAGAGGUCUCAAGCGUUGUUCGGAUUCAUUGGGCGUAAAGGGUCCGUAGGCGGUUUGGUAAGUCAGUGGUGAAAGCCCAUCGCUCAACGGUGGAACGGCCAUUGAUACUGCCAGACUUGAAUUAUUAGGAAGUAACUAGAAUAUGUAGUGUAGCGUGAAAUGCUUAGAGAUUACAUGGAAUACCAAUUGCGAAGGCAGGUUACUACUAAUGGAUUGACGUGAUGGACGAAAGCGU
rnacentral:rRNA from 1 species